UCUUCUUCUCCUUCUUCUUCUUCUUCUUCUUUUACUGUUCUAUUUUGAGUGAUGAAGUUCCGAGUUAAUUUGAGUGAAUCAACUAGUGAAGCUGCUUAGAUGAAAGUGGAGUUAUUCUCUGUGAAUUACAAAGGAGAUGUUGUUGCUACGAAUCAUGAAUUAUAAAAAUGGUCUAUGGUGGAAUAAUUGGGCUCAGGUGAAGCAGGUUUAUCUGAUUCAACUUUUGGAUUUUCUGUGAGAGUCUCAAAGAAGGAUUAGGAGAAGAAAUUCAAGCUUCUUAUGUUAAAUCAAAUAUGAGCUUUUUUUGGAUUGAAUAUUGAGAGUAGAAUUGGUGAUGUUCUUGAUUUGCAAGGAAGAACUGCUGAUACUGUGAAUUAAUACGGGUUUAGUGAUGAUGACAUUUAGAAAACAAGAAACUGAAGCUGAAAUUAGCAAUGGCGUUGGGUAUGGCUGGUUCGAAUUAUGAAUCUUGGUCUCGAUUGAGAAAGGCUUGAAUAUGCUGGUGGAUUCAUGGUAUUAAUUCUAAUGGUGAGAUCAGAAGAAAGUGGUGUUGUGAUUCGAACAAGAGGUGACUGGCAACGACAAUUGAAUGUGGAGAUGGGUAUGUGAUACGGUAUUAAGAUAUAUGUGUCUAGUGGAUAUGUACGUAUGGUUGUGAUGGUUAGGCAGUUAAUGUGAAGGUAGUUAUUAAGUGUCCUAUAUAUAUGUAAUGGGUGUUCAUAUCAGAUUAUGAAUGAAAAUGGUAUUGGUCUUGUAACUA